GAAUUUUUUUGCUUAGUAAUUGAAAUUCAACCAUGCUAACAUGUAUAGCAGUAAUUUAUUAAUUCCCACUAUUAUAUGUGAUUUGUUUAAAAGUAUAUACCAUAGUGUAAUUAUCUGUUCUGUUUUUGGUGGACAUUUGGAUUUUUUCCAAGCUUAACCAUUGUGUGAUGAUCUCAUGAAUGCUCUCAUCAUUGUCUUUUGGUACAUGCAUUUCUUUGGGGCUUACGCACAAGAGUAGAAUGGCUCCAUCACAGAGGUUACAUGCAUUUGGCUUUAGGAGAUACUGCCAGUUUUCCAAUGUGAUUGUACCAAGUUAUUCUCCCGUAGAACAGUGCAGAACUCUUAGCAGCCGCCUGCUGAACCAUGAAGAAACUUAAAAUAGCGAUGAUCUCCUCUUGACGCUGCCGCCUCUUUCUCCCCAUAGAACCCACGAGCCAAUCUGUGGUGUUUAUACUCGAGGCCGUAUGAAGCUAAUCUGUAUGGAAAUAAAGGAUAGAAAUAUUCAGAUUGAGUUUUACUAAGUGAACCUGAGGUUUUUCAGUUCAGCAAAAUAGGCCAGGUAAAUGCGUUUCUGAUACAAAAUAAAUCACUGGUUUGAAGACCUAUGUUUCCCGUUUACCAUUUUGCUUAGACGCAACUCACAGCUCUCUGCAUGGAUUGUGAAAAGCACCAGCCCCUUCCCCCAGGAUAGUUCCUGGAGCAAAACUCGUGUUCCUGUU
rnacentral:lncRNA from 1 species